rnacentral:misc_RNA from 1 species
AAAGUCGUAACAAGGUAACCGUAGGUGAACCUGCGGUUGGAUCAUUAAUAAGAAAAGGAAUGGACUCCGGUCUACUCUGGCAAAUGAAAACCUUUUGUGAACCGUUCUGUCUCUGGCGGCCGGGUGGAAGCUAACUUUGUUUAGAUUCCAUCUGUCAGUUUGGGAAACCAAGCCGUGGACAAACCGCCAAUCACUUACUUCAACCCAUUGUUUAAUAUUUUGUCUAACAUUGCUUUGUAUAAAUAUACAAACAACUUUUGGCAACGGAUCUCUUGGCUCUC